AUGACACCGAAAGCCAGACACAUUAAAUUUACAAAUAGCCGCGCCCCCUCUUACAGAAAAAAAUAAGGGGCAUAUGUUUAUUCAUAUGUUUAUUUAUGUAACGUAAGAGUGUGACUUUAAAUUCGUGACGUGCUUUCAUGGGCGUGCGCGCGGACCGGAUGGAGUUGCCAUGGAAACGGAGCGCAACACUGCAAAUGUCACGAGGAAACACCCCGUUUCUUGCUGAUUUCACAGUUUUCAGAAGGGAGUGUCCAAGAUUUCAAUAUUUCUGAAGGGAGCUGCUGACAGAGAUGUAGGAAGCGCUGAAAAGAUUCUUCAGUGCUGAUGGCCUGCUGCAUCCAGCAGAGUCGGAGUGAACCUACUGUAAGACAACAUCUCCAAGAUGCUAUAUAUGCUAUAUGCUAUAUACAAGACUAGUACAGGUUAUUAGAAACUGCACAGCACAGGACUUGCAUUGACUUGUG